rnacentral:lncRNA from 1 species
GCUUUUGUUUAAAGGUGGGUUGACACGAUCAAAGUACUUUGAUCAAAGUAAGCGCGCGCAUUCACCAAUAGGGAAAUAUUUUUAGGGAAAUGUGACGUUUUGGAAGAAGUUGUUUUUGUUUACAGGGAAUAUGUUUAUUUUGAACCCUUCUUUCAAGAAAUCUGGACGUACUAAAAGGAUUUGAAAACUUCUCUAUAUUAUCGGGUUGACAGAAUUUAUUCUUCAUCUCCUCUUCUGCAUUUAAAAUAGCCUGUAUUAUAUCACAGCCGGAAAUAAUUACAAGCUUUCAUUUUCUAAAAACCAUAAACAGAAGUAGAAAGAGCAGUAGUGAAAGUGUUCAGAGAAAAAUGUUUUGACCUUAGGGAGCUUUCAUAAUCAUUUAUAACUUUUUAUCUUAAUUUACUUAAUUACCUUAAUUAAUCUUAAUCUUAUCAGGACUUUUAUAAUCUUAAUUAUGUAUUACUUAUUUUUGUUCUAAAAACUUUUGGGGGUUAUUGUGGUAGCAAUUUUUAAAAAAAAAAAAAAUUCUUGUACUGGAUCUUUUAUUGGGUUAAUAACAUUUUACUAUGGCCUAUUCAAAACUGUUAUACAAAAGUUUUUAAAUAUAUUUUCUAAACAUUAAAUCUGAGGAAAUUUGCUAUUAUAUAUUCUUUGUAGAUUAAAAUUCAAAUUAUAUUUUUAUUAUUAAACAGUUCAAGACUCUUUCUUUAAAUUUAAACUUCUUCUAAUUGUUUUAUAUUGUAAAAUUUUAAUGUUGAUACUGCAUAAUGUAUAUGCAUGUUACAUAAAAUAUUUAUAAAUCUUU